GACGAACGCUGGCGGCAAGCUUAACACAUGCAAGUCGAGCGCCCCGCAAGGGGAGCGGCGGACGGGUGAGUAACACGUGGGAAUUUGCCUCAAGGUACGGAACAACUCAGGGAAACUUGGGCUAAUACCGUAUGAUGCAGAGAUGCCAAAGAUUUAUCGCCUUGGGAUAAGCCCGCGUCAGAUUAGGUGGUUGGUGGGGUAAUGGCCUAGCAAGCCUGUGAUCUGUAGCUGGUCUGAGAGGACGAUCAGCCACAUUGGGACUGAGACACGGCCCAAACUCCUACGGGAGGCAGCAGUGGGGAAUCUUGCGCAAUGGGCGAAAGCCUGACGCAGCCAUGCCGCGUGAAUGAUGAAGGUCUUAGGAUUGUAAAGUUCUUUAGCCUGUGACGAUGAUGACGGUAACAGGAGAAUAAGCCCCGGCUAACUUCGUGCCAGCCGCCGCGGUAAAAC
rnacentral:rRNA from 1 species